UUACAUCUCUCUAUGUAGUCA
rnacentral:miRNA from 1 species